rnacentral:rRNA from 1 species
AUGAUUCAAAACGGGGGGAAACAAGAAACAAAUACCUGGCCUUUCACCGCGACAAUCUCCAGCUCAUCCGAGGCAGCCCCCUUGUCACGCGCAACGGCGACGGGCCUGUUGGGGUCGCCGUCGAGGACCACGCAGUCUUCGUCUCCUCCGUCAGCCCCGCCGACGCCGUCGGACCCGCCCUUCUUCUGCGGUGACUCGGGCGAGUCGCCGAUGACCACGACGCGGUCGAAAAGUUUGGAGACCCAUCCGAGCGGCCCGGCGGAAAGCCUGCGGAAGCUCUCCUCCUCGUCGGAGCUGAUGUCCACCAAAUUGCGAGCCGGCCCCAUCCGCCCCCCAACCCUCACAGAGUCACAGAGAGAGCUCAAACGCGGCGGCUCUCCUGCCUCCUGGCCCGUGCGGCGCCGGCGGCGGCGGGGACGGUCUUUCCCUUCCUCUAGUGCGGGCGUGGCGGCGCGGGGCGCGUCCUGGCGGCGGGGAUUCGCGUGCGACCUGCGGUGGCACUGCGCGGCGGCGCGGGCUCGCGUGCGUCCAGCGGUGGCACGGUGCGGCGGCGCGGACGGUGCAGAGACACGGGGGCUGGUCGUCCGCGGAACCCACAACUGCUGUCCCUGGGAGCUUCGGCGCCAGAUCUGGCUCCCUAGGGGCGGCGGCUACCUCGGCCGGCGGUCCCAUGCCUGCGACCGGGGGACGGCGGAGCGACGCGGAGGUGCUGGGCAGCGCAGCUCUCUGGCGGUGCGGUGGCUAGGUGUGCUGCCUUGCUCUGUCUGGGCAGAUCCUCUGCUCCAGAUCUGGCUUCUUGGGCAGCGGUUCACACUGCUGUUGGUCAUCGGGGCUGCGGCUGGGGGGUCGGCGGUGGUGCUGUCGGCGGGGUCUGCUGUGGUGGCGAUCGAGUGUAGUGGAUGGCAGAGAGGGAUUUCGUGCAGGCGGCAGCAAGGUCCUCCUUGGCUCCGGUAUGUGCAGGUGCUCGAGGUGAGCGACUGUGGACUUGGACGGCUCCUUCUGGACGUAGCGGGGACGCUUGCUGUGUUCUGGAAGCUGGGUAAGGAGGCCUGCGUUGCCGGACUCGGCGGCUGGCCAUGCGGAGAAGAGCGGGAUGGGAUGCUCCAGGCGAAAGCCUACUGUCGACCUUCCUAUGAUCCUUCUCUGGAUCAGGCGACGAUGGCAUCUUUGAUGGCGUUUUCCCCCUUGGGGGCGUUGUUUUGGAGUCACGGAUCCGCGGUUGGCUGCCUAAUGUCUGGGAUGAAGCGGUUGUUGGGUGAUGGGGUUGUUUGGUGGUGGCGGUGGAAGAGGUGCAGGGCUGUCUCGGCGGAUCAGUGCCCUUCGGCACGGUCUAUGAUUCUCUUUGUCGUGACGUGCCUAGGCAGUGGGAGGCCCUUCGAUGGUGGCUGCGACUCUCCUAGCUCUUCAAGGCGUAAGCCCGCCGUAGCACCGUCAACAAUGCAGCACCAGCUCGACCGUGCGGCGGGUUGGUGUGACGCCGUCGCCGCCGCUCAGCGGCUGAAGGGUUCUAUUACCGGCGGGAAGCGGGGAGGGGCAAAGGCAGGCACGGCGAACGAAAUGGGCGUAGGCACGGCGGCGGGAGGGGAAAGUGGAAGCCGCUGCCCGAAAGCCGAAGAUUUUGGAGGAGAAGAUCAGAGCAGGACAGUAGUAUCUGUUGUUGGUUGGCGGGACCCACACAGCGUUGGCGGUCCCGGGUGGGAAACCGCUCCUAGACCCCCGCCCCGGACGCCGCCGGUGGCCAUUACGGCCCCGACGUCCACCUCCACACCGCUUUUCUGCAACCCACUGAAUCCGAUUUCUCAUCUCAGAAGCCAAGACUUCGCGGCCGAAGUUUGGAGAAAAUGGGGAGUUACUAUCAACUAUGAGGAAGGCAAGGAUAUGGAGGAGUUUAUCCUCGUUGCAGAGUUCACCAGAUCUCGUAUCAGAAUCACGGAGGAAAAUUGGGAGCUUGAUCAAUAUUUGCAAGAGAAAGAAGAUGCAUGGACUCAUAUCUUCAGAAAUCAUCCUAGAAAAUCAUAUCUUCAAGCUCUUAGAUCUCCAGCUACUUUCAUAGAAUCAGGCAACAACAAUCUUCCGGUAGAUCGUCCCUGUCAUGAUCAUUCACGCUCAGCGCCUUCUCCGCAUGUAGCUCAUCACCAGGGAGUUAAUGUUCAUAAUGCUACAGUUACUAAUCAGGAGGCGGGAUCCACUCGUUUUCAAAAAAGCCCACAGAGGGAUUACUGCGUCCGUUGUCGCCUCCUGGGCCAUAGCAGGCCCAGUUGCACAAAUCGUAUCAAGUGCCAUAAGUGUAAGACAUGGGGCCAUAUCAGGUGUGAUUGUUAUUCCCAAGCCCAUUGUGACCCAGUCAACGAGCCCAAUCCACAGAGUCGUCCGACAGUCGAGUUUCCGAGGCAACUGGCCACUGCUCCCGCGACUGUGACUAAUCAGCUAGUCACACCGCCGACCACCCAGGCAAAUCAAGUUAAUGCCCUGCCUCUACGCCGGGUUGGUAGCCAUCAUCGCAGCUCCUUCCAAACCUCAAUAGCACAACGGCUCCUCGCAGCCACCAUCUCUCCCAAUCCAUCCUCCAUAGCAAUCCCAUCCUCAUUGCAGCAGAGUAGCAAAGCCGGCACUAUGGCCACCUUUCCCAUCGAGGUGGAGGGGCGACUGGCGAGAAUCAAGAUCAUCAAUGGAGCGGCGCCGGCGACCCAUGAGGAAUGGGCGAUAGCAUCUAUUGUCCCCAUGCCAAAUUUGCCUGUGACCUUCAACAUGAUCAGAGAGGUACUCACCGAUCUCCUCAAUGACAAGCAGAUAGGGUUUUUUGAGAUUGAGCCAUGUCCGUUUGGGCAAGCUUACAUCAAGAUGGCUAGUGUUUUCGAUCGGGAUGGUCUGGUUUCUGAUAGCCCUCAUCAGUUCACUGAUGUACAUGUUGUUUUCCAACCGCAUAACAAGGGUCUGAAUUGGAGGCGGCUGGUUGUGAAUAGAGAUGUGUGGAUCUUGCUUUGUGGAUAUCCUUUUGAUAGGAGAGACAUUCAAGAGUUGAACAAUGCGGUCAGCAAGUUUGGUAAAUUCCUUAGCUGGGACGGGAAUAGGAGCACGCGAGCUAAUCUUCUGGGUAAAGUGAGAGUGGAACAUCUGAGUGAUAUUCCUGCCAGCUUAGUAUUUGGAGAAGGAUCUUGGGCAUUGAGGCACCUGACGAAGAUCCCAUUGAGCCAUUUGGUAAUCCCCAUCCUGUUCCUGCCCAACUAA